GACGAACGCUGGCGGCGUGCCUAACACAUGCAAGUUGAGCGACGAACCAGGGCUUGCCCUAGGGCAAAGCAGCGAACGGGUGAGUAACACGUGGGUAACCUACCCCGAUAACCGGGACAACCCGAGGAAACUCGGGCUAAUACCGGAUGUGCUCACUGGACUUCGGUUCAGUGCGUAAAGGAAGCUUCGGCCUCCGUAUCGGGAGGGGCCCGCGGCCCAUUAGUUUGUUGGUGAGGUAACGGCUCACCAAGACCGCGAUGGGUAGCUGGUCUGAGAGGACGAUCAGCCACACUGGGACUGAGACACGGCCCAGACUCCUACGGGAGGCAGCAGUGGGGAAUCUUGCGCAAUGCGCGAAAGCGUGACGCAGCAACGCCGCGUGGGGGAAGAAGGCCUUCGGGUUGUAAACCCCUUUCAGGAGGGACGAAGGUUCGGCGGUGAAUAGCCGUCCGGACUGACGGUACCUCCACAAGAAGCCCCGGCUAACUACGUG
rnacentral:rRNA from 1 species